UACGUAGGGUCCGAGCGUUGUCCGGAGUUACUGGGCGUAAAGCGCGCGCAGGCGGCGGUGCUGGCCCGGCGUGAAAGCCCCCGGCUCAACCGGGGAGGGUCGUCGGGGACCGCACCGCUUGAGGGCGGUAGGGGCUGGUGGAAUGCCUGGUGUAGUGGUGAAAUGCGUAGAUAUUGGAAAGACCACCGAUGGCGAAGGCACUCUACUGGGCCACUACUGACACUGAGAGACGAAAGCUAGGGGAGCAAAUGGG
rnacentral:rRNA from 1 species